GAUGAACGCUGGCGGCGUGCCUAACACAUGCAAGUCGAACGGAGUCGUUUUGGAAAUCUCUUCGGAGAUGGAAUUCUCGACUUAGUGGCGGACGGGUGAGUAACGCGUGAGCAAUCUGCCUUUAAGAGGGGGAUAACAGUCGGAAACGGCUGCUAAUACCGCAUAAAGCAUUAAAUUCGCAUGUUUUUGAUGCCAAAGGAGCAAUCCGCUUUUAGAUGAGCUCGCGUCUGAUUAGCUAGUUGGCGGGGUAACGGCCCACCAAGGCGACGAUCAGUAGCCGGACUGAGAGGUUGAACGGCCACAUUGGGACUGAGACACGGCCCAGACUCCUACGGGAGGCAGCAGUGGGGAAUAUUGCGCAAUGGGGGAAACCCUGACGCAGCAACGCCGCGUGAUUGAAGAAGGCCUUCGGGUUGUAAAGAUCUUUAAUCAGGGACGAAACAAAUGACGGU
rnacentral:rRNA from 1 species